AUCAUGGAGAGUUUGAUUCUGGCUCAGAAUGAACGCUGGCGGCGGGUCUUAAGCAUGCAAGUCGGACGGCAAGGGAGUGCUUGCACUCCCCUAGAGUGGCGGACUGGUGAGGAACACGUUGGUGACGUACCCUUUGGAUGGGGAUAGCCGGUAGAAAUACCGGGUAAUACCGAAUAAGGUCGGUGGUCUCGGAAGCCACCGAGGAAAGCAGCUUCGGCUGCGCCGAAGGAACGGCCUGCGUCCCAUCAGCUUGUUGGCGGGGUAAAAGCCCACCAAGGCAAUGACGGGUAUCUGGCCUGAGAGGGUGAGCAGACACAUUGGGACUGAGAUACGGCCCAGACUCCUACGGGAGGCAGCAGCUAAGAAUAUUCCACAAUGGGCGAAAGCCUGAUGGAGCCACGCCGCGUGGACGAUGAAGGCCGGAAGGUUGUAAAGUCCUUUAGCAAGUGAGGAAUAAGCGGGACAGGGAAUGGUCUCGUGGUGACUGUAGCUUGAGAAUAAGGGUCGGCUAAUUACGUGCCAGCAGCCGCGGUAACACGUAAGACCCUAGCGUUAUUCGGAAUUAUUGGGCGUAAAGGGCACGCAGGCGGUCUGGUAAGUUUGGAGUGAAAUUACGGAGCUUAACUCCGUAGCUGCUUUGGAUACUGCUGGACUUGAAUCAGUGAGGGGUGACCGGAAUACCUAGUGUAGGGGUGAAAUCUGUAGAUAUUAGGUAGAACACCGGUGGCGAAGGCAGGUCACCAGCACAUGAUUGACGCUCAGGUGCGAAGGUGCGGGGAUCAAACAGGAUUAGAUACCCUGGUAGUCCGCACAGUAAACGAUGCACACUUGGUGUUCGCUCUUAAGAGUGGGUGCCGUAGUUAACGCUUUAAGUGUGCCGCCUGGGAAGUAUGCCCGCAAGGGUGAAACUCAAAGAAAUUGACGGGGAUGUCUUGAAAUGAG
rnacentral:rRNA from 1 species